rnacentral:rRNA from 1 species
AUUGAACGCUGGCGGCAGGCUUAACACAUGCAAGUCGAGCGGGGGAAGGUAGCUUGCUACUGGACCUAGCGGCGGACGGGUGAGUAAUGCUUAGGAAUCUGCCUAUUAGUGGGGGACAACAUCUCGAAAGGGAUGCUAAUACCGCAUACGUCCUACGGGAGAAAGCAGGGGAUCUUCGGACCUUGCGCUACUAGAUGAGCCUAAGGCGGAUUAGCUAGUUGGUGGGGUAAAGGCCUACCAAGGCGACGAUCUGUAGCGGGUCUGAGAGGAUGAUCCGCCAAACUGGGACUGAGACACGGCCCAGACUCCUACGGGAGGCAGCAGUGGGGAAUAUUGGACAAUGGGCGGAACCCUGAUCCAGCCAUGCCGCGUGUGUGAAGAAGGCCUUAUGGUUGUAAAGCACUUUAAGCGAGGAGGAGGCUACUCUAGUUAAUACCUAGGGAUAGUGGACGUUACUCGCAGAAUAAGCACCGGCUAACUCUGUGCCAGCAGCCGCGGUAA